GUCGUGUCUUGGGGCGGGGCCAUGCGGGGGCACGCGCUGGGCCGGGAGGGGAGACGGUGCAUCCAUGCUCUGAUUGGGCCUUGGUUAAACAAGGGGCGGCAAGUUAGGCUAGUUAUGCCUGCUUGUAUUGGAUCCUGUUGAAGAAGGGCGUGGUUUUGUGAAGUCUGUUGAAGUCGGUUAAAACCCACCAGAGCGGCGGUGAGCCGGCUUCAGAAGGUUUUUGAUGCUGGUAUGGAGACGCUCUGGUCCGGCUGUGCAUGAGUGUAGGAGAGCCCAGGCCACGGCGACCAGGCCAGGGAUGGCGGCCACCGGCAAGCUUCCUGUCUUGCUGCUACUCAGGCUCUGGGCGUCCGUUGUUCUUCUGGCUGGCUACAUCAAGAAUCAGUCUGAGCCCCAGCUGCCUGUGUUAUGACAAAUCAAACAAAGCAAA
rnacentral:lncRNA from 1 species